rnacentral:tRNA from 1 species
AAAAAUUUAGUUAAAGUUAUAACAUUAGUUUGUCAAACUAAAAUUAUUUUAUUAAUAAUUUUUA